CUCCUCGUCCUUCUCCUUCUCCUCCUCCUCCUCCUCCAACGCCCAGGGCCGCGGGCAGCGCAUGGCAAGUGACGCCGGGCUGUGUUUUGUCCCCGUGUCACCCACGCGGCUGUGUCUGGCCAUGCCCCCGCACCGUGUUUACUACGGGGUUAUUAAGGGUGUGGAAGAAACCCCCUCCUCCCCCCCGACCCGCCACCGGUCGGGCCUUUGUAGAGUUUGGCGCAGCAGGCGCUGCUGGGGAGAAAAAGGAUUGUUUCAGAGGUGGCUGGAGGGUUCCCCAGUUCUCUCAGGUUGACAGGAAAAUGAGGCUUACCAACCCCAAAAGAGGCAGGAGACGACUGUCUUGAGUCCAGAAAUGCUCUUCAAAGAAAGGGGCAAAAGCCCCUUUUUGCUCCUUUGUGAAAAUCUCAGGGCCUGGCAGUGCCUUAAAUCGUGCUGUGAGGUCAGCUGCCUUUUUUUUUUUUCUUUCCAAUUUUUGUGUCCAAAUUACAGUUCGACUACUUGAGGUUUUUUUUGAAGCGAGCAGCAGCUGAGCUUGCUUGCCCUGCAUUGAGCCUCCUGUAAGUGCACAUGUGGUCAAGAGUGUGGGAUUCCCUCUCCACAUACCAGCCAGCCAGCCCUCUCACAGCUAGCAAUUGACUGAAAACCACUGCUGCAGUGUUGUCCACGUAACACCCUGUCCCUUGGGCUGCUGUUGUUGUGUGCCUGGUCUCAAUUUUCUCUCUCUCCUCUGGCCUUAUGUGAGAAGUCUUUGCCUCCACAUCAAGAAAAAACAUAAACACCCACAAAGACAAACAAAGUGCUGAGUUUUACAGCCGAAGCAGGUUCCCUGUCUGUUUUAUCCUACAGCUCGCCCUCUUGGACUUUAUUGUUGGUAAACUGCCAAGUUUGGCCACCUGGGGCUUCCAGCCUGGCUACCCCAAAGUUCCAGCAGCACCAGGAGCUGGUGACAGCACUCAGGAGUAAGGAAGGGCAGCCAGCCAUGGCUGUAGAAAUUACCUGGGAUAAACUGAGGAAGCAGUGGAGAAAAAGAUGAACCAAGCGGAGCAAAAUCAACAUAAUUUUCUUGACUGUCAUAAGGGUGUGGAAUUGCCAUGAAGUACCCCCCAGCCUGGUAACAUAGUGCCCAGAGCUUCCACGGGCAAAUGACAACGUUUAUAUUAUGCUGUACCAUAAACUAUGAAAAUCUAGCUUGGAACAAGAGCCCUGUUGGCGCUAGGUGCUAUACCAGGAUGUGAUAAAAAUUAUUCUGCCUCUAAGAGCUGACACGGUGCUCCUGGAGCUGCCAUGGAGAAGUGAAGAGGUGAUGGGAACAACAGCAAUGACGACAUGUGAUUUCAGGGACUGCCUGUCAGCACAGCAGGCCUUCCAACUGAGGGGUUUCUGUAAUUGAGGUUACAGCAUGAGUUUUGACUACCAGAUGAAAGCACAACUCUUGCAGGGAUAAUUCACUACUACAAAAGACGCUACAAGAGUCACUUUAUGGAAGUGCAUUUGUGGACAAGAGCAAGAGGGGACCCUACAUUUGCAGUAAAUAAAAGCAUCAUUCGCAGAUCAUCUCUUAAGUCCUACCAGUGACCUUUUGGAAAUACAGCUUGGACAGCCAAAAAAGAAAAGAACUCCAGUGAUUAAUGCAAAGGAAGGACAGCAACAUAUAUAACCUGAAGAACAGCUGAUUAAGAAGAUUCUGCCACAGGAUCAUUUACAAGUGCAAGAGCAGGUGAAACUGUGGGGUGGAUUCUUUCCCCCCUGAUUGGAGCUCCCUGUGUUCCUAGUGCUGAUCCACGCUGUUUCCCAGUGUCAUGCACAGAUAGGACACACUGAAUGCUAAUUCCAGCAUGCACAGCUUCCCUAGUACCA